rnacentral:rRNA from 1 species
UGAGGCGCGCCGAGUUUGAUCCUGGCUCAGGACGAACGCUGGCGGCGUGCUUAACACAUGCAAGUCGAACGAACCGCGGAGGGCUUGCUCUCCAAGGUUAGUGGCGAACGGGUGCGUAACACGUGAGGAACAUGCCCACCGGCGGGGGAUAGCCGGCCCAACGGCCGGGUAAUACCGCGUACGACCUCUUGGGCGCAUGCCCGAGGGGGGAAAGCAGCAAUGCACCGGUGGAGUGCCUCGCGACCUAUCAGCUUGUUGGUGGGGUAACGGCUCACCAAGGCAACGACGGGUAGCUGGUCUGAGAGGAUGGCCAGCCACAUUGGGACUGAGACACGGCCCAGACUCCUACGGGAGGCAGCAGUGGGGAAUCUUAGACAAUGGGCGCAAGCCUGAUCUAGCCAUGCCGCGUGGAGUGAUGAAGGCCUUAGGGUCGUAAAGCUCUUUCGCCAGAGAUGAUAAUGACAGUAUCUGGUAAAGAAACCCGNGCUA